UGAGGAAUAUUGGUCAAUGGACGCAAGUCUGAACCAGCCAAGUAGCGUGCAGGAUGACGGCCCUAUGGGUUGUAAACUGCUUUUAUAUGGGGAUAAAGUGGGGAACGUGUUCCCUUUUGCAGGUACCAUAUGAAUAAGGACCGGCUAAUUCCGUGCCAGCAGCCGCGGUAAUACGGAAGGUUCGGGCGUUAUCCGGAUUUAUUGGGUUUAAAGGGUACGUAGGCGGCCCAGUAAGUUAGAAGUGAAAUAAUAUAGCUCAACUAUAUAAAGCUUUUAAAACUGCUAGGCUUGAGAGAUGGAAGGGAAAGUGGAAUUCCUAGUGUAGCGGUGAAAUGCGCAGAUAUUAGGAAGAAUACCGGUGGCGAAGGCGACUUUCUGGUCAUCAUCUGACGCUGAGGUACGAAAGCGUGGGUAGCAAACAGG
rnacentral:rRNA from 1 species